rnacentral:rRNA from 1 species
UACGUGGGGCGCAAGCGUUGUCCGGAAUUAUUGGGCGUAAAGAGCUCGUAGGCGGUUUGUCGCGUCUGCUGUGAAAACCUAAGGCUCAACCUUGGGCUUGCAGUGGGUACGGGCAGACUAGAGUGCGGUAGGGGUGACUGGAAUUCCUGGUGUAGCGGUGGAAUGCGCAGAUAUCAGGAGGAACACCGAUGGCGAAGGCAGGUCACUGGGCCGCAACUGACGCUGAGGAGCGGAAAGCAUGGGGAGCGAACAGG